UACGAAGGGGGCUAGCGUUGUUCGGAUUUACUGGGCGUAAAGCGCACGUAGGCGGAUCGUUAAGUCGGGGGGUGAAAUCCUGGAGCUCAACUCCAGAACUGCCUUCGAUACUGGCGAUCUUGAGUCCGGAAGAGGUGAGUGGAACUCCUAGUGUAGAGGUGGAAUUCGUAGAUAUUAGGAAGAACACCAGUGGCGAAGGCGGCUCACUGGUCCGGGUAUUGACGCUGAGGAGCGAAAGCGUGGGGAGCGAACAGG
rnacentral:rRNA from 1 species